CUGGCCUUUCUGAAGAGCUGGCUGUCUACUACAGUGCUGGGAAAUUCUUUAGAAAAGAAACCUCUGGGCAAGACCCUAACACAAGAGUCGGCAUUCAUUAAAGGAUCUUUGCUCUCCUCUCUCCCAGCAUGCUUUCAGAAGACUGGCGGCUGUUUUCUACGACGCUCAGCUCCAGGUGAAGGCCAGAUAUUGUUCAACACAUGGCCAGAAAGCAGAAGAAUAAGUGGGCACCUACAGAAUGGAGGAAGAGGCUAGACAGUGACCACUAACCCAAUCCUGAGCUCAUUUGUGUAGGAUUCCUUGAAGAUGCUCUUGCCCCCAGAUAACAGGAAGUAAAUUUAAGGGUAUGAUGCUCACAUUCCCAAAAGGUGGUGAGCUGUCUUGCAAUGGAAGUUUAUGUUUUAUGAUGAAAGGUGAUAGCAUCAUCAAAAAGGAAAAAGAAUACGAAACUCUCCCUGUCAUAAUAAGAUGAAAAGAAGUAUGUAUGUGU